GGGCAGAUCGCAUUUUACAUGCAGAUGAACGAGAGUUUAGCUUUAGUGGCAAACAGGUGAGAUAUUACCUAAGAAUCUUCCCUUUGGAGAGGAAAUAAACAUUUGAAAAUGCACGUGGUAUUGUCCCACUAUGCCGUAUAAAGAUGAAAUGUUUUUUGCCUACAAAUGAGCUUACGCCUGAUUAACUUACUUGGUAGAGGUAAAGGCUUACCAAGGCAACGAUCAAUAGCUGGUUUGAGAGGAUGAUCAACCACACUGGAACUGAUACACGGUCCACACUUCUACGGAAGGCAGCAGUGGGAAAUUUUCUCUUCACUGGGGGAAAGCCUGACGAAGCAUACCACCUGAAGGAAUGAAUGCCUGCGGGUUGUAAACUUCUUUUAUUAGGGAAGAAAUAUGACGGUCCCUAACGAAUAAACAUCGGCUAACUCCGUGCCAGCCCCCCCGCUACUACGGGAGAUACAAGCCUUAUCCGAAAUUAUUGCACUUAAAGAAUCUGUACGUUGUUCAGAAAAUCUGUUGUAAAGUAUAAUAUCUCAGCUCUACCACAGCAUUACAAUCUUCUCUAUUAGACUAUGGUAUAGGCAAAGGAAAUUCCCUUUGCAGCGGAGAAAUGCAUAGAUUUUGGAAAGAACACAACACCCAAAGGCACUUUGCUGGGCCGUUACUGACCCUCAAAUACAAAACCAAGGCUAGCAAAUGGAAUUAGAUACCCCACUACUCCAAUCUGAAAACUAUGCAUACUAUAUGUUGUGCUUAUCAAACCGAGCUGUACCGUAUCUAACCCAUUACGUAUCCCGCCUGGCAAGUAUGC
rnacentral:rRNA from 1 species